UUUUCAUUGCUUCUUCCAUUUAUGCCCAUUGAUAUGUUUGUAUCAAAGGACAUAUAUUUACUGCAUAAGCAGUGUUAUUGAUGUCAUUUCCAGAAAAAAAAUGUGGCAGAUACAGGAAUGUUGGGAACCUGACAUGAACCCCCACUCAUGCUUGAGAGCUCUGGCUUUGGGGUCAGGCAGGCCUGUUUCAGACUCUGAUGGCCACUUACUAACUGUGUGUUCGUGGGCAACUCCUGAAUAUUUUUUGAGCCUCAGUUUCUUCAUCUGUAAAACGGGAUCAAUAAUACUUACCUUGCAGGGUCCUCUGCAAACGAAAGGAGAUAACGAAUGUGAAGCCUUUAAAACACUCAGCCGAGGCGAAGGCCACAUGAAAGAUAUGCACGUGCCAAGUGUUCAGGGAACUGCAAGCAACUUCACAAGCCUGGAUCUGGCCACACACGUGUCAGCCAAGGCCUCUUACCUUCGACCAGCUGCCGAGACCGAUGUGUUUUCUUUUCCGAGCCUCUCAGAUCCGCUCCACGCAGCCCGGGGGGUGUGGGCCGCGGGGAGGACAGUGGUAAAUAUCACGUCAACUCCGGAGGCACAGCCAAGGUUGAUGACUGAGUGUCGGGAUGACCGAUCAAGAGUCAGAAUGUGAUACAAUGUCCAGAAGGGGCACAGCCAUCUUGCAAGGAGAAGACAAAGUCACGUGUCAAGGAGAGCAGAGCCAAUGGGUAGAAGAAGCCUGAGACCCACUGACACCCCAGAGAUACUGCAGAUGCCCCAGGCUGUCUCCAGACUUCCUGUCCCGUGGUAAGAAGCACCCCCUGCAGGUAUGCACUUUACAGGCAACCAAUUCACUCCCCGAUUUGGCAACAUUUUUCUAGCCACUUAAUGAAAUUGCUCUGAGCACUUUUAUUUACAGGACUGGUUCCCCAAAGGACCAUAUCGGAAGAAAAUUCCCUAUAUUAUGGACACAAUACUAUGGAGAGGGUUACAUUUAUUACAUGUUUAGCACUGCGCUAGACAGAAUGGGGGAGGGAGGACACAGGAGGAUAAAACAAGGACCUUACCCUCUGGGAAAUUACCAUCUACGUAGAGACAAGACUGACCUUUAAGAAACAACCCUGGACACUUGAGGACAGUAUGAUUAAGGGCCAGGAGCCAGCGUGCACUAAGCGGAGUAGCAGUUCAUGUAAGGGGGAGGGGGAGGUCCCCGAAGAAAAAGCAAGGGGAACGUGAUAGCAACCCUGAGAACACACUCGCCAUCCCUACCCCUUCACAUGUUGGGAUUCUAGAUCAAUGACUGGAAUACAGACAUGGAAGCUGUUCCCCUGGGUAAAUGAAGACAGCAUAUGAAGGAAAGCCAUUUUAACUAGGAGGCCAGUUCAGAAGUUUUGAAUUCAGCAGAAAUUGAGCCCUCUCAUAUCAACAUGUCAGAUUCAGAGCCUUACAACAAUCCACUAGCAUCCCGUUUACCUUAUUAGUUACCAGACUAUUUCAUAUCGACAUGAUAUGGAGACUAAGUGUACGUCCCCUUAAAAGAGAGCUUUAAAAAACCCUUCCUGUGGAAGGAAUGUAGGUUAAUAGGUCACACGUGAAGAGGGGUGCUGGCUUUCUCUUCUGCAUUUCUGGACAAGAAAACUGCUGAAAUCGUUAGCAACUGCCAUUCAUGUUUUCUAGCAUUCAGUUGCUGUUACUUGGCUGCAGUGGGUGUGGGUAGCUCUCCCACGUCGGUAACGCCCACCUGAAUUCGUUUUUCUAGGCCUCUUUAUGGGGAUUUGAACUUACUUCCUAAAAGUGUUUCAAGUUAGUGAUCUUAUUGAUAAAUCAAAAAGGAAUAAAGGCAUGCAAGUACAAUACGGAUAACAUUUCUAUUUUAUGUUUUUAACCCCCCUUUUCUCCAGAACCUAGGAGAACACACUUGGCGUUUCUUCUGCUCCUUUCCUUCCUUUUUGAAAACUCCUUCUUUUCUUCCCUUGUUUACCCCUGGGCCGUCCAGUUCUACUGCCAGGGAACCUGGCUUGGUAGUUUCAGAGAUUCCCGGGGUUGAGCAGCUAGUGGAUUCUCUCACAUCUGAGUGGAGGGAGACUAGAGUUGGGGGGAGUAAGAAGUACAGUAUUUGUAGAAGGAGAUGAGAAGAUUCUGCAGGCAGAAUGUUAACGGCUUUAAGAAGGGCCUAAGACCAGUCAAGGGCACGACUCUAAUCCUCUCAGGGCUGCUAACCCUCAACUCUGCAGCGCACAGAUGGACCUCUCAAAACCAGGUAAGGCGAAGGUAUCGGGUGGGAACCCAAAGGGACUGCAGUGGAUACAUCGGAAGCAGACAUGAUGCAGAGACCGGUUGGAGAAACUCUGCCCAAAGUGUCCCUGUCUCUUCCCUCCGGGAGGGACGCUGGCUAAAGCCUGGUCCGAAGCUGGAGGCGGAGGAUCUAGGGUGAGAGCCACCUCCUCCGCAAUCCCCCGCCCCUCGGCGCCGGGGCGCCGCGCCCCUGCGCUCCCCCAUUGGCUGAGGCGCUCGCCAAUCCAGGAGAGGCGGCCGGGCGAGCGGGCCCUGGUUGGUGGA